AGCACAAGCAGAAGAGUCACAUAACCUGAGUGUGGGGCCCAGCGAUAUGACACAAUGCCCCCUGUGGAAGAGACAAGGCAGGAGAGAAGAUUCACACCACCUGGGUACAAACUCAGUGAUAUGUCACAAUGUCCUCUGUGGGCAGUGCCAAGGCAGUAGAAUUGUCACACCACCUCUCUGGGUCCAGGGAUAUGUCACAAUCCCAUUUGUGGCCUGGGCCCAGGGAGGAGCAUCAAAUCACUCUGGUGCUGGGUAAAGUGAUAUGUCAUAAUCACACCAGCAGGAAUGUUUAGGGAUGAGAUUAUGCAUCUGGACUGGAAAGAAUCAACACAUCAAAAAUAUUACCAGACUGUGCAAGAUGGCUCAUGCCUGUAAUCCCAGCACUUUGGAGGCCAAGGGAGAAAAAAACUCAGGCCUAAGUGAUUAUAAACCUGCAAUUAACCUCUGGUUACAAAACCAGGAAAUUUACACCUGGAUCAUACAAAUAAGGUGGACCACAAAUCAGGGCCGGGUGCUUUCCAUUUCACCAAUCACGGUUUGUUC
rnacentral:lncRNA from 1 species